AUUGAACGCUGGCGGCAGGCCUAACACAUGCAAGUCGAGCGGAUGAAGAGAGCUUGCUCUCUGAUUUAGCGGCGGACGGGUGAGUAAUGCCUAGGAAUCUGCCUGGUAGUGGGGGAUAACGUUCCGAAAGGAACGCUAAUACCGCAUACGUCCUACGGGAGAAAGCAGGGGACCUUCGGGCCUUGCGCUAUCAGAUGAGCCUAGGUCGGAUUAGCUAGUUGGUGAGGUAAUGGCUCACCAAGGCUACGAUCCGUAACUGGUCUGAGAGGAUGAUCAGUCACACUGGAACUGAGACACGGUCCAGACUCCUACGGGAGGCAGCAGUGGGGAAUAUUGGACAAUGGGCGAAAGCCUGAUCCAGCCAUGCCGCGUGUGUGAAGAAGGUCUUCGGAUUGUAAAGCACUUUAAGUUGGGAGGAAGGGCAGUAAGUUAAUACCUUGCUGUUUUGACGUUACCGACAAAAUAAGCACCGGCUAACUUCGUGCCAGCCGCCGCAGUAAUAC
rnacentral:rRNA from 1 species